UGCCAGCAGCCGCGGUAACACGGGGGGCGUAAGCGUUAUUCGGAAUUAUUGGGCGUAAAGGGCGCGUAGGCGGCCUGAUAAGUCAGGGGUGAAAGCCCUCGGCUCAACCGAGGAAUUGUCUCUGAAACUGUCAGGCUUGAGGCCGGGAGAGGGUGGCGGAAUUCCCAGUGUAGCGGUGAAAUGCGUAGAUAUUGGGAGGAACACCAGUGGCGAAGGCGGCCACCUGGACCGGUUCUGACGCUGAGGCGCGAAAGUGUGGGGAGCAAACAGGAUUAGAUA
rnacentral:rRNA from 1 species